rnacentral:misc_RNA from 1 species
GAUGAAGAACGUAGCGAAAUGCGAUACGUAAUGUGAAUUGCAAAUUCAGUGAAUCAUCGAGUCUUUGAACGCACAUUGCGCCCCCUGGUAUUCCGGGGGGCAUGCCUGUCCGAGCGUCAUUGCUGCCCUCAAGCACGGCUUGUGUGUUGGGCCCCGUCCUCCGAUCCCGGGGGACGGGCCCGAAGGGCAGCGGCGGCACCGCGUCCGGUCCUCGAGCGUAUGGGGCUUUGUCACCCGCUCUGUAGGCCCGGCCGGCGCUUGCCGAUCAACCCAAAUUUUUAUCCAGGUUGACCUCGGAUCAGGUAGGGAUACCCGCUGAACUUAAGCAUAUCAAUAAACGGAGGA